GAUGAACGCUGGCGGCGUGCCUAAUACAUGCAAGUCGAGCGAACGGACGAGAAGCUUGCGUCUCUGAUGUUAGCGGCGGACGGGUGAGUAACACGUGGAUAACCUACCUAUAAGACUGGGAUAACUUCGGGAAACCGGAGCUAAUACCAGAUAAUAUUUUGAACCGCAUGGUUCAAAAGUGAAAGACGGUCUUGCUGUCACUUAUAGAUGGAUCCGCGCUGCAUUAGCUAGUUGGUAAGGUAACGGCUUACCAAGGCAACGAUGCAUAGCCGACCUGAGAGGGUGAUCGGCCACACUGGAACUGAGACACGGUCCAGACUCCUACGGGAGGCAGCAGUAGGGAAUCUUCCGCAAUGGGCGAAAGCCUGACGGAGCAACGCCGCGUGAGUGAUGAAGGUCUUCGGAUCGUAAAACUCUGUUAUUAGGGAAGAAAAUAUGUGUAAGUAACUGUGCACAUCUUGACGGUACCUAAUCAGAAAGCAACGGCUAACUACGUG
rnacentral:rRNA from 1 species